rnacentral:hammerhead_ribozyme from 1 species
CUGAUGAGUCUUAAAUAGGACGAAACGCGCGUC